AAGGAGCACUUCUGCAUCGCACCCCGAAGAGUCGGGGAUGGUAAACGCUGAUGCCAGAGACCGUUUAGUCCUCACAUGUAGGACUGCGGACGCUCAUGGGUGGAACGCUGACAGGCUUCAUCGCACUCGGUCAGGGCUCAGUUCCUGGUCGCGGUGGAUAUAUCGACACACUGUUGGGUCCUGAGAGAACACGCGGAAGCGGGUUUUUUCUGGGAAGAGAUAACGACAAGACCUGGUGGUCACGCAGACCGCAUCGGCGCGAGAGUGUUGGUGGGCGUGGUGGUGGCGGAAGCCGGGUUUUGUGUGUUGUUUGAGAACUGCACAGUGGACGCGAGCAUCUUUGUUA
rnacentral:misc_RNA from 1 species